CCUACGGGUGGCAGCAGUGGGGAAUAUUGCACAAUGGGGGAAACCCUGAUGCAGCGACGCCGCGUGAGUGAAGAAGUAAUUCGUUAUGUAAAGCUCUAUCAGCAGGGAAGAAAAUGACGGUACCUGAGUAAGAAGCCCCGGCUAACUACGUGCCAGCAGCCGCGGUAAUACGUAGGGGGCAAGCGUUAUCCGGAUUUACUGGGUGUAAGGGGAGCGGAGACGGCAGUGCAAGUCUGGAGUGAAAGGCGGGGGCACAACCCCCGGACUGCUCUGGAAACUGUACGGCUGGAGUGCAGGAGAGGUAAGUGGAAUUCCUAGUGUAGCGGUGAAAUGCGUAGAUAUUAGGAGGAACACCAGUGGCGAAGGCGGCUUACUGGACUGUAACUGACGUUGAGGCUCGAAAGCGUGGGGAGCAAACAGGAUUAGAUACCCCAGUAGUC
rnacentral:rRNA from 1 species